UUGAUUGAUGGUGCUUGCACCUGAUUGAUUUUGGUCGCCAACGAGUGGCGGACGGGUGAGUAACACGUAGGUAACCUGCCCAGAAGCGGGGGACAACAUUUGGAAACAGAUGCUAAUACCGCAUAACAGCGUUGUUCGCAUGAACAACGCUUAAAAGAUGGCUUCUCGCUAUCACUUCUGGAUGGACCUGCGGUGCAUUAGCUUGUUGGUGGGGUAACGGCCUACCAAGGCGAUGAUGCAUAGCCGAGUUGAGAGACUGAUCGGCCACAAUGGGACUGAGACACGGCCCAUACUCCUACGGGAGGCAGCAGUAGGGAAUCUUCCACAAUGGGCGCAAGCCUGAUGGAGCAACACCGCGUGAGUGAAGAAGGGUUUCGGCUCGUAAAGCUCUGUUGUUAAAGAAGAACACGUAUGAGAGUAACUGUUCAUACGUUGACGGUAUUUAACCAGAAAGUCACGGCUAACUACGUGCCAGCAGCCGCGGUAAUACGUAGGUGGCAAGCGUUAUCCGGAUUUAUUGGGCGUAAAGAGAGUGCAGGCGGUUUUCUAAGUCUGAUGUGAAAGCCUUCGGCUUAACCGGAGAAGUGCAUCGGAAACUGGAUAACUUGAGUGCAGAAGAGGGUAGUGGAACUCCAUGUGUAGCGGUGGAAUGCGUAGAUAUAUGGAAGAACACCAGUGGCGAAGGCGGCUACCUGGUCUGCAACUGACGCUGAGACUCGAAAGCAUGGGUAGCGAACAGGAUUAGAUACCCUGGUAGUCCAUGCCGUAAACGAUGAGUGCUAGGUGUUGGAGGGUUUCCGCCCUUCAGUGCCGGAGCUAACGCAUUAAGCACUCCGCCUGGGGAGUACGACCGCAAGGUUGAAACUCAAAGGAAUUGACGGGGGCCCGCACAAGCGGUGGAGCAUGUGGUUUAAUUCGAAGCUACGCGAAGAACCUUACCAGGUCUUGACAUCUUGCGCCAACCCUAGAGAUAGGGCGUUUCCUUCGGGAACGCAAUGACAGGUGGUGCAUGGUCGUCGUCAGCUCGUGUCGUGAGAUGUUGGGUUAAGUCCCGCAACGAGCGCAACCCUUGUUACUAGUUGCCAGCAUUAAGUUGGGCACUCUAGUGAGACUGCCGGUGACAAACCGGAGGAAGGUGGGGACGACGUCAGAUCAUCAUGCCCCUUAUGACCUGGGCUACACACGUGCUACAAUGGACGGUACAACGAGUCGCGAACUCGCGAGGGCAAGCAAAUCUCUUAAAACCGUUCUCAGUUCGGACUGCAGGCUGCAACUCGCCUGCACGAAGUCGGAAUCGCUAGUAAUCGCGGAUCAGCAUGCCGCGGUGAAUACGUUCCCGGGCCUUGUACACACCGCCCGUCACACCAUGAGAGUUUGUAACACCCAAAGUCGGUGGGGUAACCUUUUAGGAGCCAGCCGCCUAAGGUGGGACAGAUGCA
rnacentral:rRNA from 2 species